rnacentral:rRNA from 1 species
CCCUUAGAUGUCCUGGGCCGCACGCGCGCUACAAUGACUUGCUCAGAAAGUUACACCUGGUCCGGAAGGAUUCUGGGUAAUCUUUUCAAUACAAGUCGUGUUAGGGAUCGAUCUUUGCAAUUAUAGAUCUUGAACGAGGAAUGCCUAGUAAGCGUUUGUCAUCAGCAAACACUGAUUACGUCCCUGCCUUUUGUACACACCGCCCGUCGCUCCUACCGAUUUUGAGUGGUCCGGUGAACCUUCUGGACUGAGACCUUUGGUCUUGGGAAGUUAAGUAAACCUUAUCACUUAGAGGAAGGAGAAGUCGUAACA